AUGAGGGAUCGAUCGAGAUCGGUACCACCUGGGCUUUCUUGGUUUGUAGCGCUAGCGUCGUCGUCGUCGUCUUGCUCGAUCCUCACUGGACCAUGGCCAGGAAUGGCGUCCCACUUGUCGCCGCCGCUGCCGACGAAGGUGCCGCGAUGGGUUGCCGCUGCCGUUCGCCGCGUUGGGCCGGACGACGUUGUGGUUGUGGUUCUGCUGUUGUUGCUGCUGAUGCUGCCUUUGGAGGAAGUGUGCGUCGUACUGAUGCACCGGCGGCAUGUUGAUGUUGCGGCCGCCGGGGACGGCGUCGUCGUCUUCCUCCUCGUCUUCGUCGUCGUCGGAGUCGUCCUCCUCGUCCUCGUCCAUGCUGUCGCUGUCCAGGUCGUAGACGUCCCUCCUGUCGUUGCGCCCGUAGCUGUGGUUCAUGGCCACGGCCGGCUGCACCGGUGCCGUCUCCUUCGCGAUGCCUUCUUGCUUCAGUUCCUUCAAGAUAGAUACAUGGCGUCCAUGGCAUCGAUCAGAAUUGAUGGAACGUAUUGA
rnacentral:rRNA from 1 species